AUACGAAGGGGGCAAGCGUUGUUCGGAAUAACUGGGCGUAAAGCGCACGUAGGCGGAAUGUUAAGUUAGAGGUGAAAUCCCAGGGCUCAACCCUGGAACGGCCUUUAAUACUGGCAAUCUAGAGACCGAGAGAGGUGAGUGGAAUUCCGAGUGUAGAGGUGAAAUUCGUAGAUAUUCGGAGGAACACCAGUGGCGAAGGCGGCUCACUGGCCCGAUACUGACGCUGAGGCGCGAAAGCGUGGGGAGCAAACAGGAUUAGAAACCCUAGUAGUCC
rnacentral:rRNA from 1 species